rnacentral:misc_RNA from 1 species
GAUGAAGAACGCAGCGAAAUGCGAUAAGUAGUGUGAAUUGCAGAAUUCCGUGAAUCAUCGAAUCUUUGAACGCACAUUGCGCCCCUUGGUAUUCCGGGGGGCAUGCCUGUUCGAGCGUCAUUUCAACCCUCAAGCUCUGCUUGGUAUUGGGCUCCGUCCUCCUCGGACGCGCCUCAAAGACCUCGGCGGUGGCGUCUUGCCUCAAGCGUAGUAGAAACACCUCGCUUUGGAGUGCAUGGCGUCGCCCGCCGGACGAAACCUUUUGUAUUUUCUCAAGGUUGACCUCGGAUCAGGUAGGGAUACCCGCUGAACUUAAGCAUAUCAAUAAGCGGAGGA